GAUCUUUCAGGGACAGAGGUGUGUUAUGUUACCAGCAGCUGUGCUGGUUCAUAGGCUUCAUCAAAUUCAAAACCAGGCUGGUUAGCUGUUUUGAACUCCUGAUAGCAGCAAGGCUUGAUCACAACCCCAUAUUUCUGAACAACACCUAGGCUGGGUUUGAAGUUUUAAGUGAAAUAAAUCCACUUGUUUCCCUCUGGUUUUCCAAGAGGGCCAUUCCCUUAGAGAAGUCCAGAAUCUUCUCUAGGUAGAAGUUGCAAGGCCAUAUCCAGCUGGCUUCUAUGGGCAGCAAUUAAGUAAAAAUUACCAGGGUGCUGAGUGCUCCAGUGAAGCCUUAGUGCUCUGAUGAGCCUCACCUGGGUCCCCUCCCCACCCCUCUGCUCCAUUUCAGCUCAGUCCCUCACCGUCUUCCCUUCUUUGAGCCUGGGGCUACCUGUGGGCCUUACCUGGAGGAUUCAAGUUCAGUAGUUGUGUGCUGGGACUCAAAUCCUAUCAUUCUUUCCUAUGUAAUAUUGCAAAUGUGAAGUUUGCAAGUGACUGCAGGCCCUCCUCAAAGGAUGAGAAAAGCUUCAAAGUCAGCCGUGCUGCGAAGGACCCUGAGGAAACAAGACCAACCAGAAGAGACUGAAGGAAAGCAGCCAUCUACUCCUGACUGUGGCUGCCUGGCUGUUACAAUUUAUCAUGAACGCAUCUCACUUCACUUUUGGCUUCUCUGACGGAAGGAACAGCCGGUCUCUGGGAGGUCAAAGACAUUAUUUUCCCUUCGUCUUUCUCAGUUUCCAGCACAUAUUUGUCACUUUGAAAAAGCAUGAAUUCUGGAUUUGAUGCACUUUAAUUGAUUUCACCCUCAACAAGUCCAACUGUCCAUCACCCUUCCCUUUUUCUUUCCUUCCCUCCCCUCCUCCCUUUUUCAUUUCUUUCCUCUGUCCCUUUACUUUGUGAGUGAUGUUUUCACCCGCCUGUGCGCUGAAGCCGUUGUGAAGCCCGUGACCCCAUCAAGGCUUACUGUCACUAGCCAUUUCUCUCGUUUUCCUCAUCCUCCAAGCUGAACUUUGGACGCUGAAUGAGAAUGAAGCCUCCAUAUAGGAGCACUGGUCUUGUAGUGUCUUAGUGAUGUGCUUCUUCGUUGAAGUAAAAGUGGCUGCUGGCAGUUAGUUAAACUUGGCUGAUAGGCUGCUUAUGUUUAGUCUGCUGUGUAGGUUUGGGAAUGAGGGAACUAAUAAUUAGGUUGUGAUAAAUAGGCAGUGGUAUUUAACAUCACUCGCAGCGGUGCUAUGGCAGAGAUGAAUGUGCCGUUUAUU
rnacentral:lncRNA from 1 species